rnacentral:lncRNA from 1 species
CAAACCAAACUUUGCAGGGUACAGCAUGAGGAGGAAGUGCAACCUCAGCAGACUGUCAGCUUUUUAUGNNNNNNNNNNNNNNNNNNNNNNNNNNNNNNNNNNNNNNNNNNNNNNNNACUCCUUUGGGGAGGGGCUCAUCUCUCCCUGCCUAGGGGUCUCUAUCCCUACAGGGCUAUAGGCUUUUCUAUUACAUGGAGACUCAGGUUAUGGAACCCCAAGACAUGAGCUCACUUCCUUGGCAACAUCUCCAAACAGAACUUGGAACUCUUGUUAAUGGGUGUCACAAUCUAGUAACAGCCAUCUCCAAAGCUCACUUGGCUGGAGAUGGUCAACAGCUAACAUGCUGAGCUGCUUCUCCACAUUGAGAGGCCACAGCCUCAGGAUCCCAGGUAGAGAAAGUAUUUAUGAAAGAUUAAGAAGAUGGCUGACUCCAUCCAGAUGCCACAGGCCAUGCUGCAGCAGCCACAUGACUGUCACAGACACCUCAGGGAUGGUCGACCCAGGAGUGACCACCAGCGACCUACCAAAAUCAAGGGGCUUUGCUGAUAUUGAGGAGUAUCCAUUCUUUCAAAAUGUGGACUGGGACAUGAUGGAACAAAAGCAGAACACAAACUGUGGUGAAACUGAAGUGGAAAUAUAUGCAAGGACUGUGGACAAGAUAAGAAUUGAAAAUUCAAACGAACAGCACAAAUAGUUGGAGUACAACUGGAAGUGUUAAAUGAACAUUUCAUUAUAGGAAGGCCAAAUAAACAAUCCAGAGGGAGAGGUCACAGAAACAAAAAUAAUGGUAGUCAAGAGGACAGCUAUAAAAAUGUAAGGCAUACCUCUAUUACAAUCCAAUUGCAAUGAUGAUAUUAAUUUCAGACUUGAUAGCUGAACAAGCUGAUUUUCAUAACAACAACCAAUUUCAACGUAGGUGACAAUACACCACCUAAUGAAUUAUUUCACCUUCCUGAAUAUUAAACAUACUUACAUUUUGUAUUAAAUAAUUUGGUAUAUUAAAGCAUAUUAAUUCACAAAUAUUUAC